rnacentral:rRNA from 1 species
GACGAACGCUGGCGGCGUGCCUAAUACAUGCAAGUAGAACGCUGAAGAGAGGAGCUUACUCUUCUUGGAUGAGUUGCGAACGGGUGAGUAACGCGUAGGUAACCUGCCUUGUAGCGGUGGAUAACUAUUUGAAACGAUAGCUAAUACCGCAUAACAAUGGAUGACACAUGUCAUUUAUUUGAAAGGGGCAAUUGCUCCACUACAAGAUGGACCUGCGUUGUAUUAGCUAGUAGGUGAGGUAAUGGCUCACCUAGGCGACGAUACAUAGCCGACCUGAGAGGGUGAUCGGCCACACUGGGACUGAGACACGGCCCAGAAUCCUACGGGAGGCAGCAGUAGGGAAUCUUCGGCAAUGGGGGCAACCCUGACCGAGCAACGCCGCGUGAGUGAAGAAGGUUUUCGGAUCGUAAAGCUCUGUUGUAAGUCAAGAACGGGUGUGAGAGUGGAAAGUUCACACUGUGACGGUAGCUUACCAGAAAGGGACGGCUAACUACGUG